rnacentral:rRNA from 1 species
GAUGAACGCUGGCGGCGUGCCUAAUACAUGCAAGUCGAGCGAACAGACGAGGAGCUUGCUCCUCUGACGUUAGCGGCGGACGGGUGAGUAACACGUGGAUAACCUACCUAUAAGACUGGGAUAACUUCGGGAAACCGGAGCUAAUACCGGAUAAUAUAUUGAACCGCAUGGUUCAAUAGUUAAAGACGGUUUUGCCGUCCCUUAUAGAUGGAUCCGCGCCGCAUUAGCUAGUUGGUAAGGUAACGGCUUACCAAGGCGACGAUGCGUUGCCGACCUGAGCGGUGGAUCGGCCACACUGGAGCUGAAACGGGGACCAGGCUCCUACGGGGGGCAGCAGUAGGGAAUCUUCCGCAAUGGGCGAAAGCCUGACGGAGCAACCCCGCGUGAGUGAUGAAGGUCUUCGGUUCGUAAUACUCUGUUAUUAGGGAAGAACAAAUGUGUAAGUGACUAUGCACGUCUUGACGGUACCUAAACAGAAAGCAACGGCAAACUACGUG